rnacentral:rRNA from 1 species
CGAACGGGUGAGUAACACGUGGGCAACCCUGCCCAAAAGAGGGGGAUAACACUUGGAAACAGGUGCUAAUACCGCAUAACCAUAGUUACCGCAUGGUAGCUAUGUAAAAGGUGGCUAUGCUACCGCUUUUGGAUGGGCCCGCGGCGCAUUAGCUAGUUGGUGGGGUAAAGGCUUACCAAGGCAAUGAUGCGUAGCCGAACUGAGAGGUUGAUCGGCCACAUUGGGACUGAGACACGGCCCAAACUCCUACGGGAGGCAGCAG